GAGGGUAUAGCUCAGUGGUAGAGUGCUUGCUUAGCAUACAGGAGGUCCUGGGUUCAAUCCCCAAUGACUCCG
rnacentral:tRNA from 1 species